rnacentral:tRNA from 1 species
AGUAGAAUGGCUGAGGUUAAAUAGGUGAUAGAUUGUAAAUCUAUGAAGGGAUUUAUAUCCUUCUACU